GUAGCAAUUGGCGGUCCAUUGUCUCUGCCUCCCCAUGGGAGACAGGCGUGAAGGUAUGUAUGUGUACGUAGAGUCUGGAAUAUUGUGUCUGAUGUAUUGUAAUAGGUUUGUCUGUCACCACACAAGAAAGUGGUGAAAAAUUCUUACCUAUUACAUUGUACAUUGUGUUAUUCUUGCGCUUCUGUGUAUCCUUCAGGAUAAAAUUGUACUUAUGUAUUAUUAUUGUCCCUAUAGGUAAGUGACUAACGUAUUGAUUAAUUGAAUAUUUUCCUUAAACCGCUGCUGUAUAAAUGCUUCAAUGCCCGUCGUCUCGGUCAGUCACUCGUAAACAUCCGAAGAUGUACACCAAAGUAGUCGCAUUGUUCGGUUUGGUGCCGUGCUGCGGCCGCGGACCUCAGCGUGGGCAGAGAGGGCGGGCAAUUAAUAUUCGACAAGAAUGUCACCGCCAGCCCUGCUAUAUGGAGACAAGUGCAGAACCUCACCGUGAACGCUACUGACAACGGGCUCAUCGGCCGAGUGGUUGUCAUUGACAACAGGCCUGAGAAGACGGAGAAGCCAAAGUAGUGGACGAGGAGUAGGACACAAUGAUCACCAUCGAGCUGAAGAGUCCCACAGUGUUCAGAGGAUCGACUUCACCGUGAAAGUGUACGCGAGUGAAGGAGCCGCGCAGUUCCCGCAACACCCAGUGCCUGUCGCGGCAGCUUCCGGGAAACCAAAGAUUUGGACUCCGGGGGGAGUAUGGUUGCAAAGCUGAAACUUAAAGGAAUUGACGGAAGGGCACCACCAGGAGUGGAGCCUGCGGCUUAAUUUGACUCAACACGGGAAAUCUCACCAGGCCCGGACACCGGAAGGAUUGACAGAUUAACAGCUCUUUCUUGAUUCGGUGGGUGGUGGUGCAUGGCCGUUCUUAGUUGGUGGAGCGAUUUGUCUGGUUAAUUCCGGUAACGAACGAGACUCUAGCCUGCUAAAUAGGCGUCGUCAUUUAGGUGUGCGUGGCUCCGUCACGCAACUCACUGGCGACGUAUUAAAAUUCUUCUUAGAGGGACCGGCGGCUUCGAGCCGCACGAGAUUGAGCAAUAACAGGUCUGUGAUGCCCUUAGAUGUCCUGGGCCGCACGCGCGCUACACUGAAGGAAUCAGCAUGUUCUCCCUGGCCUAGAGGCCCGGGCAACCCGCUGAAACUCCUUCGUGCUGGGGAUUGGGGUUUGCAAUUAUCCCCAUAAACGAGGAAUUCCUAGUAAGCGCGAGUCAUAAGCUCGCGUUGAUUACGUCCCUGCCCUUUGUACACACCGCCCGUCGCUACUACCGAUUGAAUGAUUUAGUGAGGUCUUCGGACCGACACGCGGUGCUUCACGGCCGUCGGCGUUGCUGGGAAGUUGACCAAACUUGAUCAUUUAGAGGAAGUAAAAGUCGUAACAAGGUUUCCGUAGGGGAACCUGCGGAAG
rnacentral:rRNA from 1 species